ACAGAGACUGGACGCAGCUUUCCAGAAGUCACUGGUGCCAUGAACAAGAAGGAAUGCUUGCUGCUGGUGCCUGCCCUUUCUGUGGAGGGAUCAGACGAGUCCUUCUAUGCAAUCUGUGCUUGUCCUCUAAAUUCUCUUCAAGGCAACUGCUUUCCGAGGCUGCAUCCUUUCCCAACACAACUGUGAGCAAUACCCUGAACGGAGCGCUGCAACUUCAGGUGGAGAAAAGCAACAGAAGCAGAUGGGCUGGUAAACAGCAGAGCUGGCUGCCCCACAGAGGGCCGUGCAGAGCAGAGAGUAGCAGAACGGAGCUGCUCGUUGCCACACAUGUUCCAGCAGCGCGGUGCCGCUGAGGCGAAUCGGGGCUCAUCAGCCUGCUCAGGGGUGCGGGCAGCUGCUCCGUGCACCCAGCCGUGCCCCUCCUGCAGGUGCACCCAGGGGACUGGCAUGAGGGAA